rnacentral:tRNA from 2 species
CCGUAGCUCAGUGGUUAGAGCAGGUGACUCAUAAUCUCUUGGUCGCUGGUUCAAAUCCAGCCGGGA